rnacentral:rRNA from 1 species
UGGUUGAUCCUGCCGGUAGUCAUAUGCUUGUCUCAAAGAUUAAGCCAUGCAUGUGUAAGUAUGAACUAUUUCAGACUGUGAAACUGCGAAUGGCUCAUUAAAUCAGUUAUAGUUUGUUUGAUGGUGCGUGCUACUUUCGGAUAACCGUAGUAAUUCUAGAGCUAAUCGUGCAACAAACCCCCCGACUUCCGGAAGGGAUGCAUUUAUUAGAUAAAAAAGGCUGAUGUGGGCUUUGCCCGCUGCUCCGAUGAUUCAUGAUAACUUCGGCGGGUCGCCGCGGCCCUCGUGCGGCGACGCAUUAUUCAAAUUUCUGCCCUAUCAACUUUCGAUGGUAGGAUAGGGGCCUACCAUGGUGGUGGCGGGUGGCGGAGAAUUAGGGUUCGAUUCGGAGGGAGCACGAGAAACGGCUACCACAUCCAAAGGAAGGCAGCGGUAGCGCCAAAUUACCCAAUCGACCGCGGGAGGUAGUGACAAUAAAUAACAUUACCGGGCUCUUCGAGUGCGGUAAUUGGAAUGAAUUACAAUCUAAAUCCCUUAACGAGCAUCCAUUGGAGGGCAAGUCGGUGCUAGCGCCAGCGGUAAUUCCAGCUCAAUAGCGUAUAUUUAAGUUGUUGCGGUUAAAAAGCUUCGUGGUUGGACUUUGGGGCGGGUCGGUCGGUCCGCCUCGCGGUGUGCACCGGUCGUCCCAUCCCUUCUGUCGGCGAUGCGUGCCUGGCCUUAACUGGCGGGUUAGUGCCUCCGGCUUGUUACUUUGAAGAAAUUAGAGUGCUCAAAACAAACCCACGCUCUGGAUACAUUAGCAUGGGAUAACAUCACGGGAUUUCUGUCCUAUUGUGUUGGCCUUGGGAUCGGAGUAAUGAUUAAGAGGGACAGUCGGGGGCAUUCGUAUUUCAUAGUCGAGGUGAAAUUCUUGGAUUUAUGAAAAGGCGAACCACUGCGAAAGCAUUUGCCAAGGAUGUUUUCAUUAAUCAUGAACGAAAGUUGGGGGCUCGAAGACGAUCGGAUACCAUCCUAGUCUCAACCAUAAAACGAUCCCGACCGGGGAUCGGCGGAUGUUGCUCUUAGGACUCAUGGCACCUUAUGAGAAAUCAAAGUCUUUGGGUUCCGGGGAGUAUGGUGUAAAGGCUGAAACUUAAAGGAAUUGACGAAUGGCACCACCGGGAGUGGAGCCUGCGGCUUAAUUUGACUCAACACGGGAAACUUACCGGGUCUAGACAUAGCAAGGAUUGACAGGUGAGAGCUCUUUCUUGAUUCUAUGGGUGGUGGUGCAUGGCGUUCUUAGUUGGUGGAAGCGAUUUGUCUGGUUAAUUCCGAUAACGAACGAGACCUCAACCUGCUAACUAGCUACGCGGAGGCAUCCCUCCGCGGCCAGCUUCUUAGAGGGACUAUGGCCGUUUAGGCCACGGAAGUUUGAGGCAUUAACAGGUCUGUGAUGCCGCACGCGCGCUACACUGAUGUAUUCAACGAGUCUAUAGCCUUGGCCGAUAGGCCCGGGUAAUCUUUGAAAAUUUCAACGUGAUGGGGAUAGAUCAUUGCAAUUGUUGGUCUUCAACGAGGAAUUCCUAGUAAGCGCGAGUCAUCAGCUCGCGUUGACUACGUCCCUGCCCUUUGUACACACCGCCCGUCGCUCCUAUCGAUUGAAUGGUCCGGUGAAGUGUUCGGAUCGAGGCGACGGGGGCGGUUCGCCGCCCGCGACGUCGCGAGAAGUCCACUGAACCUUAUCAUUUAGAGGAAGGAGAAGUCGUG